rnacentral:rRNA from 1 species
UACGAAGGGGGCGAGCGUUAUUCGGAAUCACUGGGCGUAAAGCGUGCGUAGGCGGUUAUGUAAGUUGGGAGUGAAAGCCCAGGGCUCAACCCUGGAAUUGCUCUCAAAACUACAUGACUUGAAUUCAGGAGAGGAUAGCGGAAUUCCCAGUGUAGCAGUGAAAUGCGUAGAUAUUGGGAGGAACACCGAUGGCGUAAGCAGCUAUCUGGACUGACAUUGACGCUGAGGCACGAAAGCGUGGGGAUCAAACAGG